rnacentral:rRNA from 1 species
AGAAUCAACGCUGGCGGCGUGCCUCAGACAUGCAGGUCGAACGCGAAAGUUCCCUUCGGGGGGCAAGUAGAGUGGCGCACGGGUGAGUAACACGUAGGUAAUCUACCUUUGGAUGGGGAAUAACAACCGGAAACGGUUGCUAAUACCGCAUAAUGCAGCGGCACCUAAUGGUGACAGUUGUUAAAGCGGGGGAUCGAAAGACCUCGCGUCUGAAGAGGAGCCUGCGGCGGAUUAGCUAGUUGGUAAGGUAACGGCUUACCGAAGGCAACGAUCCGUA